rnacentral:rRNA from 1 species
CCUACGGGAGGCAGCAGUGGGGAAUAUUGGGCAAUGGGCGCAAGCCUGACCCAGCAACGCCGCGUGAAGGAAGAAGGCUUUCGGGUUGUAAACUUCUUGUGUCAGGGAAGAGGAGAAGACGGGACCGGACGAAUAAGCCACGGCUAACUACGGGCCAGCAGCCGCGGUAAUACGUAGGUGGCAAGCGUUGUCCGGAUUUACGGGGUGUAAAGGGCGGGUAGCCGGGUUGACAAGUCAGAUGUGAAAUCCUGCGGCUUAACCGCAGAACUGCAUUUGAAACUGUUGAUCUUGAGUACUGGAGAGGCAGCUGGUCUUCCUCGUGUAGCGGUGACCUGCGUAGAUAUUAGGAGGACCACCAGUGGCGACGGCGGUCUGCUGGACAGCAACUGACGGUGAGGCGCGAACGCGUGGGGAGCAAACAGGAUUAGCUACCCGUGUAGUC